CGCAAGCCUGACGGAGCAAGACCGCGUGCGGGAUGACGGCCUAAUGGUUGUAAACCGCUUUUCUCUGGGAAGAUGAUGACGGUACCAGAGGAAUCAGCCUCGGCUAACUCCGUGCCAGCAGCCGCGGUAAUACGGAGGAGGCAAGCGUUAUCCGGAAUUAUUGGGCGUAAAGCGUCCGCAGGGGGCACAUCAAGUCUGCUGUUAUAGGCUGGAGCUUAACUCCGGUAGAGCAGUGGAAACUGGUGUGCUAGAGGGCGACAGGGGUAGAGGGAAUCCCCAGUGUAGCGGUGAAAUGCGCAGAGAUUGGGAAGAACACCGGUGGCGAAAGCGCUCUACUGGGUCGCACCUGACCCUCAGGGACGAAAGCUAAGGUAGCG
rnacentral:rRNA from 1 species